rnacentral:rRNA from 1 species
CCCUUAGAUGUUCUGGGCCGCACGCGCGCUACACUGAAGGAAUCAGCGUGGCUUUCUCCCUGACCCGAAAGGGUUGGGAAACCCGUUGAAUCUCCUUCGUGAUAGGGAUUGGGGCUUGAAAUUGUUCCCCAUGAACGAGGAAUUCCCAGUAAGCGCGAGUCAUAAGCUCGCGUUGAUUACGUCCCUGCCCUUUGUACACACCGCCCGUCGCUCCUACCGAUUGAGUGGUCCGGUGAGGCUUUGGGAUCUGAGCGGAAAGAGCGUUUCGCUGUUUCUGCUCGGAAAACUCAGUCGAACCUUAUCAUUUAGAGGAAGGAGAAGUCGUAACA